UACAGAGGGUGCGAGCGUUAAUCGGAAUUACUGGGCGUAAAGGGCGCGUAGGCGGUUUUAUGUGAGUGAUGUGAAAGCCCCGGGCUUAACCUGGGAAGUGCAUUGCUGACUGUAGGACUGGAGUAUAUGAGAGGGUGGCGGAAUUUCCGGUGUAGCGGUGAAAUGCGUAGAGAUCGGAAGGAACGUCAAUGGCGAAGGCGACUGUCUGGACAGAUACUGACGCUGAGGCGCGAAAGCGUGGGGAGCAAACAGG
rnacentral:rRNA from 1 species